UAUGUGGAGAAAUAAAUCUGUAUUGUAGCACAGAUUUGUUUUUUUUUUUACUUUUGUAUUAAUUUGUUUAUAAAAUAAUGAAUUCUAAAUUAUUUGAUAUCUUUAAACCAAAAAAUUCUGAACCAGCGAUGACUUCUAAUCAAACAUCCAGCUUGGAUAUUGCAAAUAGUACAAAAUGGUCCAAAAAGAUCAAAAUUAGAGGAAAACUAACAAAGCCUGAUGCUCAUGCUAGUACAAAAACUCAUUUAACUCGUAUUGCUAAAAGGACAGGACAUUAAACAUAACUGUCAAAAAAACUGACACUGUUCAUACCUAUCUAAUAACUAGAAGUUGCCACUAAUAGGUAAUAUAUGAAAAGUCUAAUUGACAAAAAUGUAUUUAGUUUACAAGGCCUGAUACAAUAAAAAUAAUUCAUCAUUAAAUCAAGGAAAUUUCAAUGAAACCUAUUGUUGUGACCGGGUUGGUACGGUAGACAAAAUGAAGUGAUAAUGCGUUUGAAUUUAGUUGCUAUUUAUUAUAUUUAAAUAUAUAUUUACACUUAUAAUUGUCUUUACGACUUUAAUGAGUUGAUACUUAAUUAAUAUAAAAGAUUCAGUGAACAAAAUAACAUAAAAGAUUCAGUGAAAGUGAUUCAGUGGAGAGGUGUCCAGGUUCGACCCUAUGAACUAUAUGACUCUUGAACAAGAAGUUGACUACUACUGGCGCAUCGCCUCUGGAGGCGGCGGCCAUAGGCCCAAUACAUUGAAAAGGACUGAGCAAGCCUCGAAUGUUCUAGAAAGACUAGAUGCUUGCCUGGUUAAUACUUUAUAUAUAAGACAAAGGGGCUUCCGUUCCCAUGAUUAAUAUAUAUAUAUAUAUAUAU